rnacentral:rRNA from 1 species
UACGUAGGGUGCGAGCGUUGUCCGGAAUUACUGGGCGUAAAGAGCUCGUAGGUGGUUUGUCGCGUUGUUCGUGAAAACUCACAGCUCAACUGUGGGCGUGCGGGCGAUACGGGCAGACUAGAGUACUGCAGGGGAGACUGGAAUUCCUGGUGUAGCGGUGGAAUGCGCAGAUAUCAAGAGGAACACCUGAGGUGAAGACGGGUUGCUGGGCCAACACUGACGCUGAUGCGCGAAAGCCAGGGGAGCAAACGGG